GGUACCCGGUGGAGAGAGGAGACAACCUAAGUCAGCUCCACCAGCACCGCAUCUAGGCAGGUGCAAGGAUGUCAGUGGGGAGCCAACCAGGUGAGCGCCUGGGAGAGCCUCGCAGGUCCGCAGGGCCUGAGAAAUCCGGCCGCUUCCUCCGCAGCACGGGACGCGGACCUCAGGGACCAUCCACGCGGCAGGGGUUGCUCGCAGGGAAGGCGCGUGCCCGGAGGUGGGGCGCAAAGGCGACGGCCCAGGAUGGGAGCCUCGAGUGGACGGUCCCCGUGGGGACUCCGGAGUGGACAGCCCGGGUGCAGGCCCCAGAUGGUGGUCCCGCGGUCGAUGCAGAACAAACGUCUGGAGGCAGGCGUGGCUCCUGACCGUGGUGGGGGUGACAGUGAACCUGGGGACUCAGGUCAGCAGGAGGCAAUGACAGAAUGACGCCCCGGAAGAAGGGCAGGAAGCUGGUUAAAGAGGAACCUCCCUGGACAACUGGGCUGGCAUGGUUGGGGAGGAAGCUGGAGGAGAGGGCUGUCCAGAGCCCUGAGGUCCCAGGCGGGCACCCUGAAAUCCCUUGCUGAGGCCCUGACUGCGCCACCUGCCUGCCAAGCUGCUCCAAUGCAUAAAAGCCUCGGAUUUCCAAAAGGUGACAGGACUCGGCUGCGUGGAAGCCGCCCCGCUGCCACCUCCCCACUCCGGGUGGAGGCUCCCCCGCUUUCCUGCGGUCCCACCCAGCGUCGCGGGGGGGCCUGCGCCUGCAAGUCCCGGCUCUCGCCCGUCUGUGCGAGCCCUCUGGACCUCGGGCUGUUUGGAAACGCCUCUUCAGCCCGAGUUAAGGAGCCACCGCUGCCGGGGGUGAAGGACGCCGCGCGGCUGAGGGACCGUCUGGGGCAGGGACGGAAACACUCUGCAGAAGGCUCAGCCGACAGCGGGCAGUGGCCAGGGAGCAGUCCUCUCACAAGAAAGAGCUGGGAGCUCCCAGCUCAGGGCUGGUGUCCUGGGAGCCAUGGACGGAGCUCCUGGUCUGGGGCUGGACACAGGCCCCCGAAGAGAGACACCCUCCCUGCCCACCCCCGCCAGCGUCCAGCAGAGGCCAGGGGCAUGCGGCUGGGCUGUGAAGGAACCCCUGUGUGUGGACAGCAGUGCCCCGGGGGGUGUCCUCUCUGGGAGACCCAUCAGCUGCUCCCCAACAGGCGGAGGCAUCCAAAAUGGUCGGUGAGGAGACUCACGUGUGAUUGGGUCAAGCUGACCGGCUGCAGGGGCCCAGAUCAAGCACUGCUUCUGGGUGUGUGUGAGGGUGUUUCUGGGGGAGCCCAGCACCUGAAUGGGUGACUCAGUGAGGCAGGUGCCCCCGCCCCAGGCAGGUGGGCCUCGCCCAUCGCUGAGGGUCUGACUAGUACAGAGGCGAGGAACGAGAGACCUUCCUGCUGUCCCACCUUCAGACUUUGGAUGAAUCGCACCCAUGGGAGCCUCAGCCUCCGGGAGGAUAAGAGCCGACUCCUCCCAAUAAACCCCCUUUCUGUGCAUGUCCCACUUGCGCUGUGUCUCUGGAACGCUGACCAGCGCAAGGAGCUUGAACACCUGAUGCUGAAGUUAGGCUGGCAGACGACACCAGCUGUCAUAGCAGAGAAACCCUUUCUCGUCUCCUCACUCGUGACACGGGAUGGCUAUGGUGCCACCCUGUCGUGGGGUUGGUCAUUGGGUUGCCCAUGGCCCUGGAGGCAAACGGACAGAGCUGCUGCCCAGAAGGGCCCCGGGAGAAGUGGGCAGCGUUCUUAUGGUCAUUGCCAGACCAGGCCUUGGAAGAAGGGGAGUCUUGGUAACCAGUAUUUGAGGUCUCAAGAGAUGGCAGUGACAGUUGUCACUGCAGGAGCUCAAGAGGGGUCGGAAACGCAGAGCAGGCGUGGGAGCUGCUCCAAGAAAACCAGGGGGAGCUGCCCUCGCAAGAGACACCAACCCCAGCCCCAGGUGGACGACACCAUCACGAUACAGCAUCCAAUAGGCAGAGCCACCCUGCACUUUCUGAGCACAGAGACACCGGAGGGGGUCGCUGGCUGACGGCCCUGCGGUGUUCGUGUGCCCGGAGAUGGCCGCUGUCUCCAAAACCAACACCAACGCCAUCGGCGAAGUCAAGGCAAACGGGAGAACGUCUGUGAUGUGUGUCGCGGGCCAGAGUUGCCCACCAGUGCCACCGCAAGGGGGUAGGACCCUUGCAGAGACGGGGAAAGGCCUUCCAAAGGACCUGGGGAGCGUGGCGGAUGGGCCGGCAGCCGCGGGAAUAGGCUUCUCACAUAGGGAGAUACCCGUUUCGCCCGCAGAUUUCCAGCAUCCAGCACCGGGAUGCCUGCGUUGGUGCUGGUGGGAAGUGCGUGCCCGAGACUGCAGGGGCUGCUGCAGACCCUCUCUGGAGAUGCACGGCACUGCGCAGCAGCGACACUUUACAGGAGGUUUCCGAGGUCACCGAGGACCCCGGGGAGUAGGUCUGCCCCGCGCCAGCCAGCCGGGCCCCUGAGAGGGAAGCCUGGCCCCGCCUCCAGGGUCAGAGAGCCGGGUGAGGUCUGGUCGGCCACCUCACAGCCACCCCCGGAGCAGACAGCUGUGACAGAUGGUGCUGGCAAAACCCCAACCCUGGGCGGCGGCUUCCAUGUGAACCUGGGAAAGGAGUCACGAGCACAGACCCUGCAGAACGGGCGGCGGCAGAUCCAUCACCUGGGGAACCAGCUGCAGCUGAACCAGCACUGCCUGGACACGGCCUUCAACUUCUUCAAGAUGGCCGUGAGCAAGCACCUGACCCGCGGCCGCAGGAUGGCCCACGUCAUCGCCGCCUGCCUCUACCUGGUGUGCCGCACGGAGGGCACCCCGCACAUGCUGCUGGACCUCAGCGACCUGCUCCAGGUGAACGUUUACGUGCUGGGGAAGACGUUCCUUCUUCUGGCGAGAGAGCUGUGCAUCAACGCGCCGGCCAUAGGUACCGCGGGGCACGCUGGCACCCAGCGCUCGGGGGUGGGGGAGGCAAGUGCGAGGGCAAGGACCCGCCCCCUGCCAGACCCCUGCCUGUACAUCCCUCGCUUCGCCCACCUGCUGGAGUUUGGCGACAAGAACCACGAGGUGUCCAUGACGGCCCUGAGGCUGCUGCAGAGGAUGAAGAGGGACUGGAUGCACACGGGCCGGCGCCCCUCGGGCCUCUGCGGGGCAGCGCUUCUGGUUGCAGCCAGGAUGCAUGAUUUCCGGAGGACUGUCAAAGAGGUCAUCGGCGUGGUCAAGGUGUGCGAGUCCACGCUGCGCAAGAGGCUCACGGAGUUUGAGGACACCCCCACCAGUCAGCUGACCGUGGAUGAGUUUAUGAAGAUCGACCUGGAGGAGGAGUGCGACCCCCCCUCGUACACGGCCGGGCAGCGCAAGCUGCGGAUGAAAGAGCUUGAACGAGUCCUGUCGAAGCAGCUGGAGGAGGUGGAAGGGGAAAUUUGCAGCUACCAGGACGCGAUUGAGAUCGAGCUGGAGAACAGCCGGCCAAAGGCAAAGGGGGCCCUUGCCAGCCUGACCAAAGACGGCUCCGCUGAGGAUGGCACGUCCAGCCCGUUUGGUGAGGAGGACGCCGAGGACGAGGAGCUGGAGGCCGCCGCCAGCCACCUGAACAAGGACUUUUACCAGGAGCUCCUUGGCAGUGGCAUUCCUGGCAGCUCAGAGGCAGCAGGAGGCCCCGAGGGGGGCGUCAGACCCCCUGCCCUGGAGUCCCUACUCGGCCCUCUGCCCACAGCAGCCAGCCUGGGCAUCUCAGACUCCAUCCGCGAGUGCAUCUCCUCCCAGAGCCAGGACCCCAAGGACCCUUCUGCAGACGGCGAGCUGGACCUCAGCGGGAUCGACGACCUGGAGAUCGACAGAUACAUCCUGAAUGAGGCGGAAACCCGUGUGAAGGCCGAGCUGUGGAUGCGCGAGAACGCGGAGUACCUGCGGGAGCAGCGGGAGAAAGAGGCGAGAAUAGCGAAGGAGAGAGAGCUGGGCGUCUACAAGGAGCACAAGCCCAAGAAGUCCUGCAAGCGGCGGGAGCCGAUCCAAGCCAGCACAGCUGGGGAAGCCAUCGAGAAGAUGCUGGAGCAGAAGAAGAUCUCCAGCAAGAUCAACUACAGCGUGCUCCGCGACCUGGACAGCAAGGGCGGCGGCGGCCAGCCCCGGGGGGACGCCGGGCCCCAGGAGAGGGCCGGCGCCAAGAAGCUGUCCCGGAGGAAGAGGCCCGCCAGCAGGAGCAGGGCCAGCCUGGUGACCAGCGUGGGGAAGAGGUACCGUGCGGGGCCUUCACCUCUCCCCUGCGUGGCCCCCUGCUGCCCUGGAAGGGGGCCUGGGCGUGAGGUCUGUUCUGGGCCUGGCCCAUUCUCCGUCCCAGGGGUCUCUUCUCCAGGGAGGGGUCCCCGUCACCCGGCAGACCCACCGUCCUGCGGGGCUGGGGCCGGGGCCGGGCAGCCCCCAGCUAGAGCCUGGCUCCUGGGAGCACUGCUGGGGCUGGGGACUCACGGGUCACCCCGGGGAGGGGCAGUGCCCGGCGCUCUGGGGCUGCCCUGCCCGGCCCCGGCCCCGGUCCGCUGUGGUUUUCUAGCCACAAUUCGCCCGAGACGUGAAGAUGUUCUGGUUGGCGGGUCUGCUGCUCUCGGGUGGAAGUAAUCGUUUUUCGCGAUUUUUGUGGCAUUUUUUCUGUAGCUCGCCUGCCCCGCUCCUUCCUCUCAGGUCCCCAAGCCCCCGCAUGCUCAGGUGCCCAUUACAGCCUGCCUCCCUCCAGGCGGCUGGUCAGCCCAGUCCUGUCCCAGGGACCUGGUUGGCUUGUCUGCCAGUGUCCCCGUGUCCCCUCUGAUGACAGGCACAGGAGUGGGCACUGGGGGGGGACGUCUGCCCCCCUUCCUAGGCAGCGCCCCCCAGCCUGCCUCCUCGCUCUGUGGGCAUAGUGUGGUCACUGCCUGUCCUCUAGGGCUGUGGCAGGUAGCCAGGGGACCCCGAGCCUUCUCCCUCCGGUCCAGCCUGGCCUCUGGCGAGGUGGAGCGUGGGUGCACCCCGAGCUGUGGCUCGUGGGGCCUCGUCUGCCGUGUGGGCAGCAGUGCUUGGCGUCUGCUCCCCGUGCACGGGCUGGGGGCUGCCCUCCCAGAGCCCCGGCCCUGCCCGCCUGUGUCGCUGAAAAGUUGCGGGUGAGCCCUGUCUCGCCGUCUGGUGGUGCCCUCGCGGGCGUGGUGUUUGCCGUCCUGACCUGAUCUGCGGGAGCUGUGCGGCAGCCACGUCCUCCGGGGCCGGGGGCCGAGGGUGGAGCAUGUUCUGUGGGCCGCAUGCAGGACACGUGGACGACUGCCAGGUGCUCUUGUACCAGCAGGGCCUGUGACCCCCUCACCCCGCUCCACUGGCCGCCAUGCCAGCCCUCAGUGGGGCGCACCGUGGCAGUUGCCCGCCCGCCUCCUGGGUUCUGGGGACCCUGGCCUUCUCUGCUGGGCCUCAGAUCAUUGCCCCCAUGGCUCCGAGCUCAGGUUUCCCCAGGUAGCAGGUGGGGACCGACCGGGAGAGCAGUGGGAGGUUCUUCUCAGGCCUGCCUGCAGACUGCUGGCACCGCUGCGUUGGCCCUCUCCUCCCUCCAGGCCGCCCGCCCAUCCCCGCCAGCGCGGGUCUCCCCCGAGCCCUGCGCCACCUGCUGCUGAGGUCUCACCCCUGCUGUCAGGUGUCCCCCCUGUUGGAGGUUGGAACAGGGUCUGAGCAGGAGAGAGCAGGCCCCUGGAAGCGGUGCUGUGAGAUGCGGCUGCUGGGGGUGGGGGGCAGCCCAGGCUCUCAGGCUGGAGGGGCGGGGCAGGCUUGGGUCUUGGGACGCGCCUCUCCCCCCCUCCUCUUCCCCUCCCCUCCCCUCUCCCCUCUCCUCCAACCCCCUCCUCCCCCUUCCCCCUCCUCUCCACGGUGCUCCCUACCCAGGGCCGGCAUGUGGGGUACACAGAGGUUCCUAGGCCGGGGCUGAAUUGGACCUGCAGCUGCAAGCCUGCACCACAGGCACGGCAACACCAGAUCCCAGCCACAGCUGUGGUCUACAGAGGCCAGCAACGCCGGAUCCUUAACCUACUUAGUGAGGCCAGGGAUCAAACCUGCCUCCUCAUGGAUACCAGUCAGAUUCAUUUCGGCCGAGCCGCAGUGGGAAUUCCGAUUUUCGUGUUUUAUCCUUCGUCACAUGUUGACAGGCAGGCAGCGGUUCUGUCCGGAAAGACCUAACGGCCUGUGUAGUGGCUUAAGUAAUUUGAUUUUUGUUACCAUCAUGUAGAAAGAAGCUUUUAUACAAGAGUCUGCGUUUCUGACUUCUUCUGGUGACCCCCCCGCUCCUGGCACUGUGCCCGCCCCGCCUUGGGUGCAGUGCUCACCUGGACUGGGGGCUGGGGGGGACCUCGGCUCUGCCGUGUCUGUUGGGCACACGUGUCCCCUGCCCAGCCUUGGGCGGGGCAAGGACCGUGGAGGGAGGGACCAUGACGGCAGGGUGGUGUGACCAGAACCUCAGAGCACGCGCCGUCCUGCCCUUUGGCUGGAGCACAGGCCUCAGGACGGGGCCCACGUCCUCUUGGCCGGCGGUGCGGCCUGGCUGAGGCCGCCGUGCUGUGCUCUCUUGUAGGUUGAGGCCGAUGGUGUCCACGCAGGCGGCUAAGAAGGCGGCCGUUGGAGAGGUGUGUUGUGUGGACCCAGCUGGCCGGGGGGCCCUGUUGGGGGGAGCCCCUGCCCCCAGGGUGCCAGUGUGCACCAGCCAGCAGCCCCCCGGUGUCCUCACGGGAAGAGAGGCCCAGGGCUGGGGUCCAGCCUGGUCAGGGUCCUGGUCUGCUCCAGGGGCCAAAGGGCGAAGCAGGGAAGGGUGGUCCCUGAGGGGUCCCAGGGCAGCUGCCAGCUCCGUCUGCGGGCGGGUGCCUCCCCCAGGCGGGGCCUCGGCAGGGGGGAGGCUUUCCAAGGGUGGGGUCGGGGGGAGGCUGCGGGGCUCAGGGGGUCCUCACCGAUGGCUCUUGAAAGGUGGGAAGGGUCCCCAUGGUGCCUCACGGCCCGCAGCACUGCCCCCAGGGGACUGGAGGGGUCCCCAGCUCGCCCCUCGCCCGCAGGCCUCGCCACCAGGUCCUCGCUCCCUGGCAGCCGAGCCCGCCAGGCCCACGGCGGUGGUGGUGGAGAGCGGGCCUGUGUCGUACCACCCCGAGGAGGACGCCGACGAGGAGGACGCCGACGAGGAGGACGCCGAGCCCUGCGUCAGCGCCCUGCAGAUGAUGGGCGGCAGCGAUUAUGGCUGUGACGGCGACGACGACGACAACUACUGAGACGGGCCCUCGCCGCCGCUGUGUCCUGGUGCUGGACACCACCCCGCGGGUGUCUCACGAGGGACCAGGCAGGGCCUCUGGGGCCAGGGCUCAUCGGGGAGAGCGUCGGACUCUUGGUGACAAGCUGGGUGCUGCCCUGCAGCUUUGUCCGCAGCCACACGUGGCCUCUGUGGCUCUUGCCAUUGCGACCACAAUUUGAGUCACGUGAGGCAUGUUUCCGCCCAGCAAGGGCCGGGACCGGUGUCCGUGCGUCUGGUCAAACAGACGUGGGUCUCACAGCCCAGGAAGGCUUGCCGGAGGCGCCGUCCUGUCUCCGCGAGAGAACGAGCACCGGGCGGCCUGGCCGCUCGUCCUCGUGCGUGGGGUCGGCUGCCCUGCCCGCCCCCCGCUGUCUGAGAAGCAUUUUGCCAGCAGCCCUCCUUUUGCUGGUCCAGAACUGGUCCCGUGUCUCCAACUGGAGUUCCCGGCCAGGCCCUUGUGCCCCCUGCUGCUGUCUGGGCCCGGGGACCACGUGGGUCGAUACCAGGAGCCCAGAGGCUGCCUGGCUCCAGCCUGGCAGCUGCUGAAUCGAGUCAGUCCAGCAUCCCUCAGCAGGCACAUGCACGGUGGCCCUGGGUGGCCUGCGUGUCCGGCCUGGGCCAGAGAGCUAUGCGCGAGCCAGCAUGCCAUCCUACACGGGGUGGUGGGCAGAGGAUCCUCGGGCUUGGCAGCCCUGCUCUCGACGGUUCCUGCCCGCCCCGAGCUGCCCGGGCUGGGCCUCAUCAUCAGAGGGCCCGGGGCCAUCUGGCCUUGGCUUGGGCGGCGCUGCCUGGAGGUGUCCAGGGAGGGGGGCGGACGCUCUGUCCUUCGAGGCCCCAGCCUCGGCCGCCCACCCUUACAAUGGCAUAGCCUCACCCCACUGUCUUCCUGGGGCCCAGCCCCCGCCCCCAUCUCCUGGGGUGGGCGACCCCCUCCCAGAGUGCACCAGCGUUGGCGGGCGGGGGUGGGGUGGGGUUUUGAGGUCUGUGGCUCUGCCCCUCAGCCUGGACCCAGGAGCCCCGGAAAGCUGGAGCGGAAGGUUGGUUUGGUCAAACAGAUUGUUACUUGAGCAGAAA